rnacentral:lncRNA from 1 species
UAUUCACGGCUCCACCCUCUCUUUUUUCUUCCACUGCCGCAUUUGUCUCUUCUCUCCACCACCGUCGUAACCCCUCCUUCCCCUCUCUGUCCACCGCUCGCCCAUGAUCUCUCCACCGCUCGCCCACGAUCCCUCGUUUCAAUUUCCCUGUCUCCGCCCCUCGCCCUCGUUGCCGAACUGGUGCGCCAUCACUUUAUCACUGUUUCGGUCAAACCACUGCCUGGAAAUCUAUGACUACCGCAAUGGGCUCUCCGCCUCCCAAAAACCCCACUACCAUUGCCGCCGCCGUGGACGUCUCAGAUCCAAACGAGAAAUUGCCGCCGAUGACGACUCAGACCAAACUUCUGCUAUAGAUUCUUCCCUGAUGGCGUAUGGUAAUUGUCACAUAUCAAUCUAAAAAAUUAGAUGCGUGUAAAUGUUGAAUAAUUUGUUGAAUUAAUUAAGUGGGGGAUGGUAAUAUUCUUCGGGUGAACUUUUGGGUUGCUUUGUCAUUUAAAAAUAAAAAAUUGUAGUGAAUGUCCGUCAAAUUGAAGAAGGAUAUUCAACCAUGUUCUCACAUAAUUACUCCUAUGAGUUGAUUUAAUAUGUUAUUCUUUAGGUGUUUUAUAAUAGUGGAUUUCGAUAAGACUAGUGGAUCUCAAGUUAUUAUUUUUGCUUAUAAAAAAACGAGUGUUUGCGUAACGGUAAAUGCGUGCAAAAUAGUUGUUUUUGUUACAUUUUACAGUUGUUUUUUUUUCUAUUUUUGUAAUAAAUUUUGUUAUUUUUUAAAUUAUUUUUGAAGUGGAUUAUGCUAAUAUUUUAGUGGAUUUCGAUAUUUUUAUAGUGGUUUUGAUGAAAUUGUAGUGAAUUUCGAAUUCUUGAUUUGGAGAACGAUUUUUUUUUUAUGAAUUAAAUUUAAUGUUGUUGUCUUCUUUUUAAGUUGUUGUUUUCUUUCUCUUUGGAUCAAGUUCUAGCACAAAAGGAGUGAUGGCAGCAAGUAGGACGAGGUUGGGUGAUGCUCGGAUAACUGUACUAUUGUAUGCGAUAGCGGUGUUUAUUAAAGGUGAUUUUUUGUAGUGGUUUUAUGUAAGUUUUUAGUGGAUUUCGAUAAAAAAAAAUGAGUGGAUUUUCUCCUUGUAAAUUUUAUUUUUUGUAGUGAGUAGUUAUAUUCUUUUUUGUGGCUUUUAAUGAGCUUGUAGUGGAUUUGAGGUUUUUUGUUUUCAAAAUAUUUUUUUGAAUGAAUUUAAUUGACACUUUGUCUUCUUUUUCUUUGUUUUAGGUUUUCGAGCAGGCGUGGCGAUGGCGAUGGCAACGAGGGUGACUAGGUUAGGUGAUGCUCGGAUAAUUAUACUAUUGCUAGUGGUGGCGGCAUUUGUUGGCUCCUUUUUUAUAAAUAAAACAAAGUAAUAGUAGUAGUUUUGUUAAUUUAAUAGUGCAUUACGUUAAUUUGAUAUUGUAUUUCAUAUACAUCAUAAUAAACAAUGGUUUAUGUGUUAG